rnacentral:rRNA from 1 species
GAUGAACGCUGGCGGCGUGCCUAAUACAUGCAAGUCGAACGAAGAUCUAGCUUGCUAGAUCUUAGUGGCGAACGGGUGAGUAAUACAUAAAUAAUCUGCCCAUAUGACUGGGAUAACUAUUGGAAACGAUAGCUAAUACCGGAUAGGUUGAUUGGAGGCAUCUCUGAUUAAUUAAAGUAGGAUUUCUACACAACUGGAUGAGUUUAUGGCGCAUUAGUUAGUUGGUGGGGUAACGGCCUACCAAGACGAUGAUUCGUAGCCGACCUGAGAGGGUGACCGGCCACACUGGGACUGAGACACGGCCCAGACUCCUACGGGAGGCAGCAGUAGGGAAUUUUCGGCAAUGGGCGCAAGCCUGACCGAGCAACGCCGCGUGAGUGAUUAAGGCCUUCGGGUUGUAAAGCUCUGUUGUAAGGGAAGAACAUUCAGGAUAGGAAAUGAUCUUGAACUGACGGUACCUUACCAGAAAGCCACGGCUAACUACGUGCCAGCCGCCGCAGUAA